rnacentral:rRNA from 1 species
AGUAUAAGCAAUCUAUACCGUGAAACUGCGAAUGGCUCAUUAAAUCAGUUAUCGUUUAUUUGAUAGUACCUUACUACUUGGAUAACCGUGGUAAUUCUAGAGCUAAUACAUGCUAAAAACCUCGACUUCGGAAGGGGUGUAUUUAUUAGAUAAAAAACCAAUGCCCUUCGGGGCUCCUUGGUGAUUCAUGAUAACUUAACGAAUCGCAUGGCCUUGUGCCGGCGAUGGUUCAUUCAAAUUUCUGCCCUAUCAACUUUCGAUGGUAGGAUAGUGGCCUACCAUGGUUUCAACGGGUAACGGGGAAUUAGGGUUCUAUUCCGGAGAGGGAGCCUGAGAAACGGCUACCACAUCCAAGGAAGGCAGCAGGCGCGCAAAUUACCCAAUCCCGACACGGGGAGGUAGUGACAAUAAAUACUGAUACGGAGCUCUUUUGGGUUUCGUAAUUGGAAUGAGUACAAUUUAAAUCCCUUAACGAGGAACAAUUGGAGGGCAAGUCUGGUGCCAGCAGCCGCGGUAAUUCCAGCUCCAAUAGCGUAUAUUAAAGUUGUUGCAGUUAAAAAGCUCGUAGUUGAACCUUGGGCCUGGCUGGCCGGUCCGCCUCACCGCGUGCACUGGUCCGGCCGGGCCUUUCCUUCUGGGGAACCGCAUGCCCUUCACUGGGUGUGUCGGGGAUCCAGGACUUUUACUUUGAAAAAAUUAGAGUGUUCAAAGCAGGCCUAUGCUCGAAUACAUUAGCAUGGAAUAAUAGAAUAUGACGUGUGGUUCUAUUUUGUUGGUUUCUAGGACCGCCGUAAUGAUUAAUAGGGAUAGUCGGGGGCAUCAGUAUUCAAUUGUCAGAGGUGAAAUUCUUGGAUUUAUUGAAGACUAACUACUGCGAAAGCAUUUGCCAAGGAUGUUUUCAUUAAUCAGUGAACGAAAGUUAGGGGAUCGAAGACGAUCAGAUACCGUCGUAGUCUUAACCAUAAACUAUGCCGACUAGGGAUCGGGCGAUGUUAUUAUUUUGACUCGCUCGGCACCUUACGAGAAAUCAAAGUUUUUGGGUUCUGGGGGGAGUAUGGUCGCAAGGCUGAAACUUAAAGAAAUGACG